GGAGAGAUGGCGGAGUGGUCGAUCGCGUCAGUCUUGAAAACUGAAAAACAGCAAUGUUUCAGGGGUUCGAAUCCCCUUCUCUCCUCCA
rnacentral:tRNA from 1 species